GCCACUAUGCUGGAUCGAGCCAAUGCUUUCAGGCAGCACUUCGAUUUGGAUCAGGAGAGAAAGUAUAAAGAGCUUAAUCUUGAAAAAUUGAAGUUCAUGAACCCUGAAAAGUAUGCCGAAGCAGAAUCUAAGUUUAGAGAGGCAAGUUUGCUGUAACUUCUCAUUGAGAAUUCUUAAUGUAAUCUUGUCGACGAGGUUUACAUAAGUUUUUGUUCACUGAUGUCUUGCUCCUUACAGUUGAAAGCAGACAGUGAGGAGGCUACUAAGAAGUUUGAACACAUAGUUAGACUAAUGAAUGAAGAGCUCGCUCAUUUCCAGGAGCAAAAGACAGCUGAUAUUGGACUCGCAUUCCAUGAAUUUGCCAAGGGUCAGGCUAAGCUAGCUAAAGACAUUGCGGAUGCAUGGCGCAACGUCCUCCUAAAGCUCGAAGCUUGUUCCACAUCAUAAAUGUGAUUUGUGUUUCCUCAUGAUGUUUGGGAAAUGGGAUAGGGGUUGGCAGCUGGUGAGUUUAGGCUGUUUUUUCCCCAGCCUGUUUUGACACUGAUUACUGUAUACUUGAACUGCAGUUUGGAAAUGCUCCAGCUGUUAGAUUCAGUUGACGUCA